CUCGGCUCGGCCUGGGCGCACCUUUUCUCCCUCCUGCCACAAUGUGAGCGCUCAGCCGAGCAGAUAACCGCCGGCUGCCUGCUCCACCCCCGGCCCUUGCCCACUCCGCCCACUCCCGAGCGCCCAGAGGAUGCUGACUGCAGGGAUGGAGGAACUUUUUCCACUGCAGAAGAACAAUGUGGUGCCUAUGGGAACAUGCCAUGUGACCAUUCUCCAUUCCUCCCAGCAAGGCACGCUGGGUGAUGUGAAGAACCCAGGAAGGAAAGCUGGAGGAGAGCAUGGUGGGUGGCAGAGCGGGAUUUGGGGAAGCCCUGAGCCCUGCUCCAUCUGACCCUCAGUACAUCUGUCUCCGUCACUGUCUACCUGCCCUGCUCACGCGUGCCCCUCACUCACCCCACGGCAACAGGCCUAUCUUUCCCCCAACAUCAAAAGAGCUAUUUCAGCGACUGUCGCUGUACCUGGCCCAUAGCCUCUAGUCUAUAUAUGUCUGUCAAAUGAAUUGGCUAUAAACAUGAAAAGGUUUCUCCUGAAAAGGUU
ensembl:antisense Zfp652os zinc finger protein 652, opposite strand